GACUGCAUUUGUUUUUAACUCUGAAGGCUCAUUUAAUAGUAAUACCCAUUGAUACCAAUAUCUUACUCUCGGUUUUCAUGUUAAGUGUCUUCCAGCAGAAGACAUUCUUGUUCCUGAGGUUUAGAUAGUACUUCAGUUGAGGUUUUUAUCUGAUACUUGAAUUUAUACUGUCAGUCUUCUAAAGGGUUAGGUUUAUUUGACUCUCAUAGAAGUCAUCUUUGAUCUACUGGUGUAGUGUGUUUUGAUUCUUGGCUGUAAGUAUUUAUCAGGCAUGUUAAUGCAUGUGCUCUCUUACUCAGUACUAUACUGAAUUCUGUAAAACCACCUAUAUGCUGUGUUGAAUAUCCUCUUUAGCACAUAUAUCCUUUGAUUGGCUUUCAUAGAGAAUCAUGUGGAAACCUGCAUUGUUCUGUGAUUGAAUGCUUUUUGGAAAGUUAAAAACAGAUUUUAACACCAUUUUUUUUUUUAAAUUUUUAACAUUUAUUCAUUUAUGAGAGACAGAGAGCACAAGCAGGGUAGGGGCAGAGAGAUAGGGAAACACAGAAUUGAAGCAGGCUCCAGGCUCUGAGCUGUCAGCACAGAGCCUGACACGGGGCUCGAACUCACAAGCUGUGAGAUCAUGACCUGAGCUGAAGUUGGAUGCCCAACCGACUGAGCCACCUAGGUGCCCUGAUUUUAGCACCAUUCUAAUGAUUCUUUAUAAUUAUUUAGUUUUUCUUCUCUUUGUUCAUUCUUUCCUUCAUUUAACAGAUACAUACUGAGCUCCUACUAUGCGACAGUAUUUUAGGUGCAGGGGUUGCAGCAGUACCUAAAGAAAAUUAGGGAGCAGAUAUCUGGCAGAACAGUUUCAGAUCGAGAAUAACAAACAUAAAAGCCCCAUGUUCAAAGGGGUAGAAGGAAGGCCAACUGUGACUGGUACAGGGGAGAGUGGUAGGAGAUAGGAGACUUGAGAGGUAGUAGAGGGGGUUAAGCCUGUGGAGCUUUUGUAGACCAAAAGGAUUUUGGCUUUUAUUCUGAGUAAAUAGGAAGUGAGGAUUUUGAGCAGAGAAGUAACACAAUCUGAUUUUACAAGGCUCCAUCUGCUGCUAUAUGAAGCAAAGCUUGGAUGGGCAAGGGUCAAUUUAACAUGCUAUUGUAACUAGGGGUAGCUGUGGAAAUAAGGAAAAAGUAGACCUGGUUUGGAGUCUAAUAUUAUGUGUGUGUGAGUUUUAGUAGUAUAGUACUGUUUAUGAGAGAAAAUACAGGAAUUCUCCCUUCUUAAUGCUUGCUCGGAUGGGAUUUGAAGGUGUCUAGAAGCUGGAGCUUCCUGUUUUCUCCCUAAUUAGGGAGCGGGUGAAAUCAAAACUAUUUUUGUAAUAAUACAAAGUCAUUGCUUGCCUUUUUCACUGUGCUGACACUUUUGCUGAUGUCACAAAAGCAGUGGUGGGUAAAGUUAUCAGAACCUGAGUAUGAAUCAAAGACCAAACUUGCUGGUAUUUACUGUGUAGUCACAUAAUGCGUAUGCCACAUAUUCGAGUUAAAAAAAAAAAAGCCAGUUUCACUUAAUGUCUUUGUUGAAGCUGUAGAAAUGAUUAAUCAAGUCUUAAUCUUGAGUACAUAUCUUUUUGAUAUUCUUUGUGACAUAAUACAGUUUUUUCAUGAUGCUCUUCUGCAUACUGAAGAGAAAAUAAGGGAAAACAUUUGUAUAGUUCUUUGAGUUGUAAGCCAAACUAGCAGCUUUUGUCAUAGAACACCAUUUUUACUUGAAAGAACAGCUUCCAGACAAACUAUGGUUUUUCCAAUUUAGAUACUUGGCAGACAUUUUUCUGGAAAGUGAAUGACUUCACAGAAGACAAUUGGUAGUAUUUAUUGCCAAUGAAGAAAUUCAGACUUUGGAUCAAAAAUUACAAUUUGGGAAACUUGUCUUUGUCACUUUGACAGUUUUCCAGGAUCCAAAGACUUUUUUGGUUGGAUUGAUGGUAUUUUGAUUUUUUUUUCUUUGUAUAAUGAAAUAUGUUGAUAUUUGGAAGAUCUGCAUAACUCAAUCAACUGGUAUUUUUCAGAUGAUCAGAGCAUGAUGUUUCAAAAUCACAUAGAAGAUCCAUUUAAAGUACAAGAGAAACCAAUGGGCUUCAGUAUAACUCAAUGCAAAAAGUUUAUUGAUACAGUUUUAGAUUUCACAUUGCAGCUAACCUUUAAGACAUGACUACUUACUGGGGUGUCUGGGUGGCUCAGUUGGUAAAGCAUCCGACUUUGGCUUAGGUCAUGAUCUCACAGUUUGUGAGUUUGAGGCCCGCAUUGGGCUCUGUGCUGACAGCUCAGAGCCUGGAGCCUGUUUUGGAUUCUGUGUCUCCCUAUCUCUCUGUCCCUCCCCUGCUCUUGCUCUGUCUCUCUCUCUAUCUCAAAAAUAAAUAAAUAUUAAAAAAAAAAAAAAAAAAGAAAUGACCACUGAGUUUUGGUAUAGUAGCAAAGAGCACCUCCAAUUAUUUAAAAAGGCUAUUAAAAUACCCCUCCUUUUUUCAACUGCAUAGCUUCUGAAUGUAGGUUUUCUUCAGAUCAAAGCAAAAUUUACACAUUAUUGAAUGCAGAAAUAAUUAUAAAAAUCUAGUGUCUUCUAUUAAGCCAGACAUUAAAGAAAUUGAUUUUAAUUUUUAAUUAAAGAGUUUAAAAUAGCACCAUUCCUGUCAUUUAUUUUUUGUUUUGUUUUGGAAAAUGCAAUUAUUUUCCUCAUAAAAAAUUUUAUUAGUUUGUAAUAGAGUGAUUGUAAUUUUAAAAUUAAUAACAUUCUACAUUUAAUUUUAAUUUCUAAUAUGGUAAAUAUCGAUAGUUUUGUCCAUAUAAAUAAUACACAUAAAAGAUCUUUUUUAAAAAAAAGAUCUUUAAUAAUUCUUUUUUCUAAUAAGAUUUCAUUUUAAUUUAUUUAUUUUGAGAGAGAGUGAGCGAGCAAGGGAGGGGCAGAGAGAGGGAAAGAGAGAGAACCCCAAGCAAGAUCCACACUGUCAGUGCAGAGCCCGAUGCGGGGCUUGAACUCAUGAACCAUGACACCAUCACCUGAACUGAAAUCAAGAGUAGGAUGCUUAACUGACUGAGCCACCCAGGUGCCCCAAAAUCUUUAAGAGUAUAAAUGGGAUUUGAGACAAAAAGUUUGAAAACUGUUCAUUUAGUAAAAAAUUAACAUACAGAUUUCAGAGUCAUGACUCAUACAAUUUCUAGAUAUAUAAUUUUAGGAAAUUAUCUAACUACUGUUAGCUUUAUUCUUCUUACCUGCAAAAUAGGAAUAAUAUUUGUCUCACAGGGUAUUGGGGUAAGAUAAGGUUUAUGAAGUAUAUAUAGUACAGUACUGGGCACAUACAAUAGAUGCCCUUUAAAUCUAGCCUUUUGGUUGAUAAUUUGCAUACUUCAGCACUGCAGUGGUCUUAAUGUUACUGGAAUAUUUUUUAUUCAUUUGACAGGACAGAAUUCAGUUUAUUUACCAAGUUAGAACCACAGCAUCUGAUUUCAGAUUUAAAAACUACAUUGUGGAAAAUUGGCAGAAGGUUAUUUUAAGUUUUAGUAUCUUUUAUGUAACAAAUUAGCUUAAGCAGCAGGUUGAGGUCUUAGAAAACUGAAGGGAUAGUCGAUGAAGCUUAACUAGGACAUUUGAGCACUUAGUUUCAUGGCAUACUUGGCCAAUAAAGCAAAUCCAGUGUUGUCUAGAGAAGGAGUAUGAUGAAAAAAUGAUGAUGAUUUGCUUUUAAAAUAUUGAAGUCAAAGCAUGAUGUUUGUUAUCUUUAAUUAGAAUAUAUUAUUUCUGAUUAUGUACUUAACCUAUAAAAUGAGAGGGAUUGGAUAGUUGAAUGCAAAGUCAUUUCUAGUUCAUAAAUCUUCUAAAAAUGUGAUUAAUUUAAACUUGUUACAGUAAUUUUAAUUUGUAAGCAUCAGUAGGUACUGAUGCUUUUGCCCUUUCACCUUUAUUUUCCUUGCAAGCUUAAGAAAAUAGAGUAAUAAUGUAGGUGCAUAAAGGCCUGCUUUCUUUACCUAGGUGCUCUGCCUAGACUCUGGUAAGUUCUCCUUAAUUUGUGUAGUUUUUUGAAUAGUUAUUACAUUCACAUGCUACAAAAUUAUAAAAAGAUGUAAAAGAUACAUUGUAAAAAUAGUUUGCCUCCCACUCAUCUUUACCCACUCAGUUACCCUUCUUAACAGCAACUGGUGUUAUCAGUGCCUUGUUUUCUUCUUGUCACCAUUUAGAACAUGGUCCUUUUUUUUUUCUCCUGGAAGAUAGAGAAGUGAAGAAAGAUAACUAUUAUUACCUUUUAUACUAUUAGGGCAAAAGUGGAUAUUCACAAAUUUCUAUGUUUGAUUUUAAAUGUCUCUUUUUUUACUGUCAAAUUUGCAUAUACCUCCAAUCUAGACUUCUUGGAGUUCCCAUAUUUUAUAAUUAUCUCCACUUGGGAAUCUCAGAGAUACUUCAAAAUUCAUUUGUCAAAAUGUUAUUAUUAUUAUUUUCCACCUUAUCCCCUCCUACCUGGCCAUCCAGUCCUUUAUUAAAUCACAUCAUUAAUUAUCUGGUUGCUCAAGCCUCAAUUAUUGGGAUCAUUCUUUGUCUCACCUCCUCUUCCUAUCCAUGCAUAUCUAAUUAAGAGGUUAUUUUGCAUCAUUCUACUUUCUGUCUCUAUUGCCACCAUUUUGAACACAAUUUUAAUUUUUUUUCCCCUUGGAAUGCUACACUGGACUCAUAUCUGGUCCCAGGUCCCCCUUCCUUCACAAGAGUGAUCUUGGAAUGUCAUUUUUAUCAUGUCAUGUCCCUGUUCAAGAUUCUUUAGUGCCUUCUCCACUAAAAAGUAAGUUCAUAUUUCUUACCAUAGUUAUAGAGCCUCACAUGAUCUGGACCUUGCCUGCUUCUCUGAUAUAAUCUUUUGUACAAAUGUCUCUUUUUUUUCUUUUCUGGCAAUACUUGUUUUCUUUUCGUUCCUUGAAUAUGCCAGGUUAUUCCUGGUCUCUGACUGUAAUGCUUUUCUUCUUAUUCUUUGAUUUCUUAGUUUCUACUCCUCUUUAAGAUCUCAUUUUAAACAUUAUCUCAUUAGAGAGGUUUUCCUGCCUGAAGAAU